rnacentral:tRNA from 1 species
GCCUCCAUAGCUCAGUGAAUAGAGCACUGGUCUUGUACACCAGGAGUCGGGAGUUCAAUCCUCUCUGGAGGCA